rnacentral:rRNA from 1 species
GCUUAACCGAAGAAGGGCAUCGGAAACUGGAUGACUUGAGUGCAGAAGAGGGCAGUGGAACUCCAUGUGUAGCGGUGGAAUGCGUAGAUAUAUGGAAGAACACCAGUGGCGAAGGCGGCUGCCUAGUCUGCAACUGACGCCGAGGCUCGAAAGCAUGGGUAGCGAACAGGAUUAGAUACCCUGGUAGUCCAUGCCGUAAACGAUGAGUGCUAGGUGUUGGAGGGUUUCCGCCCUUCAGUGCCGCAGCUAACGCAAUAAGCACUCCGCCUGGGGAGUAUGACCGCAAGGUUGAAACUCAAAGGAAUUGACGGGGGCCCGCACAAGCGGUGGAGCAUGUGGUUUAAUUCGAAGCUACGCGAAGAACCUUACCAGGUCUUGACAUCUUGCGCUAACCUAAGAGAUUAGGCGUUCCCUUCGGGGACGCAAUGACAGGUGGUGCAUGGUCGUCGUCAGCUCGUGUCGUGAGAUGUUGGGUUAAGUCCCGCAACGAGCGCAACCCUUGUUACUAGUUGCCAGCAUUCAGUUGGGCACUCUAGUGAGACUGCCGGUGACAAACCGGAGGAAGGUGGGGACGACGUCAGAUCAUCAUGCCCCUUAUGACCUGGGCUACACACGUGCUACAAUGGACGGUACAACG